UUUUUUUUAAAGAAAUAAUAUGGAACUUGAGUGUGUUUGUUUUUUUGGGCCAUUUUAAGUUCACCCUGUGUUGACACGGAUGACAGGGAAAGGCGAUCGCAGGCCUCACGCAAGCAAGAGGGAUCCGACGGAGCGAUCGGAAACAGCGGAAGCAACACAUGCCCUGGGAUCACGAAGGGGGGAAAAAAGAAGGAAUAUUUUCUCCCCCUCCCGGAAUGAGCUCGAGAUCCGGAGAAGAAGGCAGACAGAUUUAGUCUGAAAGCACUCAAGGAUCCUAUUUCUGUAAUCAUGUGGUUCCAAUAAACGCUCAUUGUUUGCCCAUAAA